GAAGGCAUUUGCUCUUUAACUUUCACAAAUAUUGACUAAAAGCUCACUGAUUCAAAUUGCAGCUACGACGUGUCCUUGGGCACGAUGCUAAAACUCAAUCUGCUCCGAUUGGGGCUGGCAUCUUGCAUAAAAAGCGGUCCUCCAUUGGUGUGUGUGUCUGCGUAUGUGUGUGUGGGGAACGGAGGGGGUGAAAGUGAGGCUUUGGAAAGCGCUUUGGCUAGUGUGAUGGUGAAGAGAAAGCAUGCACGCAUCAAUAUCCGGCCUCACAUCCUGAGUGCCAGCCCACUUCUGGAUGUGGAUGGCGGAGCUCCACCUUUAUCCUUAGGGUGGCCAGGGGGGAGGCCAAGGCUAUUUCAGGAAACCACAGACUAUGAAAGUGAAUUUUUUUCUCGACCAAUGAAUUGCAAUCUGAGUCUCGAAAUGUUGCAAUGGCCAUACAAAGCACACAAAAGAUGAGCUAUGUGUGUAUAAAUGAGAGUUUAUUAACAAUGUUUACAACACAGUGUACACAGAAACAAAACUGUGACAAUUUUCCAAUAAUCACAGAGUAACUCCUGACAUGAUCCUAUCGCUCCAGCCUGGCCCGUGCGAGUGCCCGCGUGGUUGCGCUGAUUGGGAGGCACACACCUGCGCCUCAUGCGGGCUGAUUAUCUCGUGUAUAUAGAGGACCCCGAUGACGACUGCUCCUCCACCAGAUCGUUGAGCUUCACCCCGCGUUCGAGUACUCCCGUAUCCCCGAUCGUCAACCCGUGUGUACCGACCUCCGCCUGUUCUCCGACCGACCCCGUAAGCCUGACUCCCUUGACACUUCUGCCUUCCUUGAUCGAUCUCCCGUGUACCGACUCCUGCCUGACCGCUCACCUGCUGUCUUCGCCCGACAUCCCAACUAUCGCUGCUGCACCUGACUGCCUGCCCGAUACCCGACCACGGAAUAAUAAAUGUUUCUCCCCGAACUUCCUUGCAUCUUCCAAGUCCUGCAUUUGGGUCCUACUCCCGUUCCGAUGGGUCGUGACAACUCCCUCACAGAGUUAUCCACUCACUCUCACACAUGCUAUCAUAUAGUAAAAAAGGCCAGUUUUGUUACACUUUGCAUCACUUACAACUGUAAGAUGUGAACAAAUCCCCACUUUGACCCUAAAAAUAUGUCGGGGGGAAAACACCACUGUAGAUAAAAAUUUCAAAUUCAAAUUUUUAGCUACUCAGCGGUUCACAUCUGGUUUUGCCUCUGAUGACCCAAAAUUUAAAUUAUGUUCUUCUCUAGCAACUCAAAUUUACUUCACACAUGCACACACAAACACAAAAA